rnacentral:rRNA from 1 species
AGUGAACGCUGGCGGUAGGCCUAACACAUGCAAGUCGAACGGCAGCACAGUAAGAGCUUGCUCUUACGGGUGGCGAGUGGCGGACGGGUGAGGAAUACAUCGGAAUCUACUUUUUCGUGGGGGAUAACGUAGGGAAACUUACGCUAAUACCGCAUACGACCUACGGGUGAAAGCAGGGGAUCUUCGGACCUUGCGCGAUUGAAUGAGCCGAUGUCGGAUUAGCUAGUUGGCGGGGUAAAGGCCCACCAAGGCGACGAUCCGGAGCUGGUCUGAGAGGGUGAUCUGCCACACUGGAACUGAGACACGGUCCAGACUCCUACGGGAGGCAGCAGUGGGGAAUAUUGGACAAUGGGCGCAAGCCUGACCCAGCCAUACCGCGUGGGUGAAGAAGGCCUUCGGGUUGUAAAGCCCUUUUGUUGGGAAAGAAAAGCAGCAGGUUAAUACCCCGCUGUUCUGACGGUACCCAAAGAAUAAGCACCGGCUAACUUCGUG